CACCGAAGUACUCGCCAUCGCCCAGCAGAGCAAUCCGCAAAUCCUCCCCAUGUGGGCCCUUGCUGAUUACCUCAGCCUGACCGCUCGCCACAAUGAAGAACUUCUGCUUAUCCUUACCCUCCUCCACAAAGAGCUGACCAAUCUCCACCUCAUUCGUCUCGAACGAACGAGCCAGACGAUCCACAAUCUCAUCCUUAAACUCAGAGAAGAGCGGGAUAGCCUUCAAACUCUUAGCAGAGAACGAAGGUUCGCCAUUCAGAUACUGAAUAUCCAGACGUUCGCUUUUGCGAAGUUCCACCUUCGUGCGGUUCACGCGGAACGUACCGCCGCUCACCUGCACCCAAGGCAAUAAUUUCAACAACAAUCUCGGAGUGAUGCUGCCCAUCUGAGGAGCAGUCUUGGUCGUCGUCGCCAGUCUUCUGGCGGUAGCUGUAGUCACACUA
rnacentral:antisense_RNA from 1 species